CACACAGAGUCAUCCACUGCACUCACAGGAAUGCCAUUUAACUUUGCCUUUCUCUAACCCAGGUGCCACCCCUAAUAAAGGCCACAGGCUUGGAAUCAGGAUGAAGCUGGAGCCUGAAGGAGCCAGGCACACUCAGGAGAGGGCAAGUAGCUGCCUUACAGGGAUUUGGCCCACAAAACUCUAGACUCACACUUUGGUUUUGGUUUUUAUUGGUCAGCUUUAUUGUAGCUGACCAAGAGGCUCACAGGCCAUCACAAGGCCCUUCAAGGCAGACUCAUUUCAGGUGUAACGUGGGUCCACAUCAUCGAUCAUCCAAAAGAUAAUUUGGGGCCCACGGCCUGGAGAUGGGAGAAUAGUGGGUUGGUAGUUCUUGGGGCAUAUUUUAAAAAUUAGCAAAGGGAAAAGCAAACUCCUCCAAGGGCCUCUUAGGAAAGCUAAAGGGAGAGGCUCUACUUUUGGUGGCAGCUUUCAGGUGGGCAGUGCAGAACAGCUCUGGUUUGUGUCGUGGUUUCCGGUGUGCCGUGCUACCUAGUGUGUCUUUGGGGUCCCUUUUGCCUUCUUCCCUCGAGGCCCUCACCACAAGCAUGAUGUGUCGUGUUUGAUGUCCACCUGUUUGUCACGUUCUGUGUCACGGGUGUCUGCACACAUAUGGGUGCCAGAGCUGUUCUGCCCUGCUGCAUGGCCAGCUGCAAUAGGAGAAGUCCCGGGGACUUGGAAUUUGUACUGUGGGGUGUAGUUGGACUCUAGAUGGGACUUGUGGAUGGACACAGGAUAUCUGGAGCUCUUCAGUUGUCCUGCAACAGUGUGACUCUUGUCCUAACAUUUUUUUCAGAUUCUCAUGGGUUAAAUCUGGGCCAGAGGGCCCAAUCCCGUGUGAGGGGAUUCCCCCGAGCAGGAAGUGAAUCUGGAUAUUAGCAGUCAAGGUGAGCCGUGGAGAGAAGUGGUUGUUAUUGCUCAGCUCUCAAGAACAACACUUUUUUCAUCAGAUUCAUCGUGUCACAAGAG
rnacentral:lncRNA from 1 species